UAAUAGGGCUCUUCAAUGUGCAAAGUGGCUUAAUGAAGCUCAAAAAAGCAUAUUCUUCUGAGCAAUCUGCUAACAUAGACAAACCGCUGGGUUAUAUCCAACUGGUUUUAACCCUUCAUAUCCUUUUGGUUUCUGAUCAAUACAUACAUUAGGUGCAUUCACAGAAUCACAUCUUUGUAAUUAAAAACAAGUAGACUUCUUACAUUUUCAAGAAAAAUACUGCAUGGUAGGCUACAGAUCUAUGUACGGUUUACACAACACUGACCGUGAGUUGCAGCUCUUGUCUUGUCAAAGGAUGGACACGCUCUAUAUCAGUGGAGGCUGCUCAGAGGAAGAAGGGGAGGACCAUCCUCCUCAGUGAAAUUUCAUAAAAAUAGGUGAUGACCACUCCACUCAACUAUCAUUGUCAACUCUCUCUUGACAUGAACUGAAGCCAUGUCUCAUGUGCCCCCUCAUCUACUGGCACGUUGAAUGUUUCCUCUCCAAGCACUUCAAAUAUUUUCUUGCAAUGAAGUCAAGCCUCUGAACACCUCAACUCAUGCCUCAUACCCUCAUUCAAUCACUGCUGUGAUCCCUUCCCAACACUGUGUAAGUAGCCCUCUCAUUCCCAUUCCCCAUAAUAUUGACUAUAAAUGUCUUUAUUAA
rnacentral:lncRNA from 1 species